GAAAUCACAGAUGUUCUGAGAUUCAUCCACCUAUACUCCAAGCACUGCCACAGAUAACCUGUUCUAAGAGGGUGGAGUACUUCCAGGUCCCUGUUACUUUGAUGCUAACACACGGCUCAUUAAGAGAACAGAUGUGUGUUCUCCGUUCUGACAGCUUUGUAUCUCAUACCUGAGAACUGAAAGAUAAAAGAGUCACAUUCAUGAUGCCAGGCAGUCUGAUUCCUGGACCGUGACUACCCACUGGGCUCUUUAACUCUUGUGGACAGGCCCUGGAAGGUUGCUCAUGUUUCGGAAACAGCUGGGUUUCAGAGCAUGAUACCUCCGGCAGGAUGACCUCACGUAGAACAUGCGCAUGUGGCAUCUC